UACGGAGGGUGCAAGCGUUAUCCGGAUUCACUGGGUUUAAAGGGUGCGUAGGAGGGUAGGUAAGUCAGUGGUGAAAUCUUCGAGCUUAACUCGGAAACUGCCGUUGAUACUAUCUAUCUUGAAUACCGUGGAGGUGAGCGGAAUAUGUCAUGUAGCGGUGAAAUGCUUAGAUAUGACAUAGAACACCAAUUGCGAAGGCAGCUCGCUACACGAAUAUUGACUCUGAGGCACGAAAGCGUGGGGGAUCAAACAGG
rnacentral:rRNA from 1 species